rnacentral:tRNA from 1 species
GCUCUCGUAGCUCAGUUGGUCAGAGCUUCGUACUAAUACUUGGGUUUCCAUUCAAGUCUUGGUCAUGCGGAGGUCGCAGGUUCAAGCCCUGCCGAGAGCA